rnacentral:rRNA from 1 species
UACGGAGGGGGCUAGCGUUGUUCGGAAUUACUGGGCGUAAAGCGCACGUAGGCGGCUUUGUAAGUUAGAGGUGAAAGCCCGGGGCUCAACUCCGGAACUGCCUUUAAGACUGCAUCGCUUGAAUCAUGGAGAGGUCAGUGGAAUUCCGAGUGUAGAGGUGAAAUUCGUAGAUAUUCGGAAGAACACCAGUGGCGAAGGCGACUUACUGGACACAUAUUGACGCUGAGGUGCGAAAGCGUGGGGAGCAAACAGG